UGGGAAUAUUCGACUGAUGGGAAGUGUGAGAAAAUGCCAUCAACACGAUUACUGAAUGUAAAGAUCAAAGCACUGCCCUGCUUUGAGCAAGAGGGAAUGAUAUGGAUUUGGCCAGGAAAUGAUCCCCCUGCAGCUACCCUUCCUUCUUUACUACCGCCUUCUGGAUUUCAAAUCCAUGCGGAGGUUUGAAACAACUGCCAUACCUUCCUAAUUUACUACCGCCUUCUGGAUUUCAAAUCCAUGCGGAGGUUUGAAAUCACUGCCAUUCGAUUUUCAGUUGUUAAUAGGAAGAAUAUCUUACAGCUCAUUCUUGAAUACUUCUGCCUUAUAGCGGUUGUCGUUAUUGACAGAUAG
rnacentral:lncRNA from 1 species